GGGUUAAGGGAUAGAGCUGUGUCCCUUUCCUUCUUACCUCUCCAUUUGCGUUCCUCUGGGAGCUCCACACUGGAUCAGAUGACCUUCUCCAAUAGAGGAAGAAGGUUGUCUGUCAAAACCAUGUGGCUAGCUGUUCUUCCCUGCUAGAGCCUCCAAACAAGCUCUCAAAAUGAUGUUAAUAGUUUUUUACCUUGAUCAGUCUAACAGAUGAAAGAUGGGCAGCACUUCAUUUUCUUUUCUUGAGACAGGGUUUCUCUGUGUAGCCCUGG
ensembl:misc_RNA Gm22600 predicted gene, 22600